GCACGCUAGCUAUUUUGCCGGACUCAAAGUGCUCUGGGAAAUGUAGUUUUUUCUCUACGCUUCUACGCUUUGCUCUUAAGUACCGAAGCGCAAGUGUGCAGCAUAUUGAUGUUGGCCA